ensembl:lncRNA
GGAUAACAUUCCUAGCCCUAAGUCUGUCACCUAGUCCUUUCACGAGCUGAUCCCUCAGGCCUCCUUGCCAGAAGCUUCCACAGAACACCAUUCUCCCCCCGGAAGGUCUCCUCCUGGCAUCAAAGCGUUUCUCUUCUUGCCCUUUCCUUGUAGGUUUCCUUUUCCAUCUGCCAGGAGGAAAGGUGGUCCUUUAAGGGCAGAGACCUAGCUCACUUAUCUUUUUUUUUCCUCACCCCCCAGUGCUUAGCAUAUACCCGGAGCCAAGUCAGUGCUUUUGUAAGAAUGGAGUCACCAUGGAAUUGCGAAACAGCAAGAGCUGGUUCAGGCAGGCAAGCAGCUGGAACCAGGAAACGGUUAAAGGCAGGAGGGAUCCACUUCACUCUGGGCUGGUGGCCAUCUGCUUCCGGCCUUCCUGUCCCUCCCACGGUGGACGGUGGACGCAGGCUUCCUGCAGUCUGGGAGGGGGUCUGAGUGGGAGAGUCAGAAACCCAGGGGUGAAGGGGCUCCCCGAGCCCCGAAUGAGGGCGUUCAGAAAAGUGGCUCAGCAUCGAGGGACUUCUGACUCUCUUUGUGAGAAAGACCAGGUGGGCAGGGCCCCUGGGAGUGAGUGCAAUGGGGAGUUUGCUCCCCAGAAGAUGUGGCUGGGCCUCUCCUGGAGCCACAAGGGAACCGACAGUUCGUUCCAGGUCGCCCAGCCCGAGAGGCUUGAGAGGAAGGCAAAGAUUCAUGGUGGGCACUAGACACAGGACUCAAUUCCUGGACUAUGUGCUUUCCAGCUAGCUCCACGGACUACAUCAAGGCAUCAUGCCGGGCUUCCCUGUCCUUCACCAUCUCCCAGAGAUUGCUCAAACUCAUGUCCAUUGAGUCAGUGAUGCCAUCCAACCAUCUCAUCCUCUGUCGUCCCCUUCUCCUCCUGCCUUCAACUUCCCUGAACUGUACACACCAUGAAUUGAUUGCCCCACACUUUCCACCCACUCUUUCUAAAUUGUACCUUUCGGGACUACACAGACCAAGUUUCCUCAAAAUACCAACCUUCAAAUAGUGGGGGAAAGCUAUGAUUUUCCCACCGGAAUCUAGUCUUUCUCAGGCUAAAUGUCUCCUUCUCUUUCAACGCUUGCCCCGGUCAACCCGCCACCCUUUGAGUGACUCCCCUCAAGGUCAUCCGUAAGUUGAAAUGUUGGAAACACCUAACUAUCCAGCAGUGGAGGCUCAACUAAACCACGCAACGAAUCACGUCAAGAUAGGAUACCAGAUAAAAGAAGAGAUAAAGCAGUAGAUUUAGUAUGAUUUAAGUCUUGUAAUUAAAACUUUAUAUGUUAAAAUAAAUUUUUGUAAUAUUUGUCACAGGGUGGAACAAUGGUAUGUGAUAUUCCUCUUGUUUGUACCUUUUUUUCAAAUUUUCUAGAAUGAAUUACUGGUAAGUAGGAGGGGAAAAAAACAGACCCUACAUCCCUAUAGUUUUUAACCUAAUGGCCCAGGUUCUAAAUCUUGGGAAUAUCAUAAAGUAGGCUUCUUACCACACAUCAUUUCAGAGAUAAGUAUGUAGCAGGAAGACCAGAAUACCAGGAGCCUGGCAGACCUCCAACAAGUGUUUGUUUCCUUCUUUACAUCCCUGAGUUCUUGAGGACUAUUCUCAUAUACUCCUUUCUCAUUAAAAUUUCCUUCACCUGUGUCCUACGGCUGGAUUUCUAAUCCAUAUUCCAACAGAUACUCACUGUACUUCCAGUUCUGUCCAAGCUGUUGACUGAGCUGGGAGGGGGGCGGCAGGUCUCUGAUAGACACCAGCUCCAAGAACAAGAAAGAAUAAAGUGGACAUUUCCUUAAUUCCCAUUUCAGAGCGGAAAUGCAGUUAGAGUAGAUCAUGUAAGUGAAGGAAGCGGGGGAAACACCAUCAAGUCAGCGCUCACCCAGUUGUUAUUCAACAGGACAGUGGCAAAAUCAUCAGGCGACAAAUGCUGUCUCUUGCUCACUCCAAAGUUUCAGGAACUGGCUCAUGAGGUUUUCAGCAGUAAAGAAAUGGAGGGGUGAGUGAAUCUGUGCUCCCACCUCCAUCCUUCUCCCAGACGAGAAAAAGGCAGCCUAGAGGGGCUAUGAGAUUUGCCCCAAGUUGACCCACUUAACUGCAGAGUUGGGAGACAGACAGGCCCCCUGAUACCUAGUCCAGGGCUUUCCAUCUCUCCUGCCUUCCUUCUGUCAGAUUCUGAGAGAGAACAAAGUGUCUGCAGCAACUUGGAAUUAACACCAUUGGCCUGAAAGGUGGUCUCCGAUUACCCAUCGUCUUGAACCUGGAGGCUUCCCUGGAGGGGAGGAGGGACUUUCCCUCCACCUUCCUAGGUUCAAUAGCUGAGUCUGUGACUUAAACAGACAGCAGGCAGGUUGAGAGCAAAAAAGGUGCACACACGUAUUCAUUUUACUAUUAUGUGUGGUGGGCAUCACACAAAAAAAGUGAAUACUCAGUAAACUGGUCCACCGAUCUUAGACUGUAAGGAUUGGAACUCAAUCUGAAUUCAUCUUUGUAUCCCCGGCCCUGAUCAGGGCAGCUGACACAGAACAGACACUCAAAUGCAUGCAGAGUCAGUCACUGGUAAUGCCCUUUACUGUGGGUAACUUAUAAUUCAACUUGUGGAAAAUGGUGGCUGCUUCCAUAAAAGGUAAGAGAGCCUGUUAAGGAAGAAGGUGAGUCCUGGUUUGACAAGUUGAGACCUCUGGGUUUUGUUCCAUUGAGUCAUGUUUGACCACUCACUGUCUAGACCUGUUUGAGAAACAAACAAACAAAAAACCCUUUAAUAGUUGUGAAUAAGUAUAUCACACUUGCUUUUCUCUCUCCAGGGCAAAUAAUUCCAGUCCCUUUGGAGAUCCAGUGAUCAGAAAACAUACUCUAAUAAGAUGUUAUGAUAUCUUGGAUACGAUGGAAGUUCGCGAAGAGUCAGACACAGCAGCAUCCUACUUAAAUAUAUCCUGGCAUUUCAUGAACUUAAUACAACAUGGUGGAGCUGGCAUUUCUCUAAUGCUUUUUUUUUCUUUGUCCAAUCUGCCUGCUGUCAAUUUGUUUCACAGACCCAGCUAUCGAACCUAAGAAGGUAGAAGAAAAGUCCUUCCUCACCUACACGGGAGCCUCCAGGUUCAAGACUGGUGGUGAUCUGAGGACACUUUUAGCGCUGCUGUUAAUUCCUUCAAGUUGCUGCAAAUACUUGUAAGUUUUCUCUCAGAACCUGAUAGAAGGAAGGCAGGAGAGAUGGACAGAGCCCUGGACUAGGUAUCAAGUGGUCUGCCUUUCUCCUGAUUCUGCAGCUAAGUGGGUCAACUUGGGGCAAAUCUCACAACUCCUCUAGGAUGCCAUUUUCUCAUCUGUAAGAAGGGCAAGGAGAUCCAACCAGUCCAUGCUAAAGGAAAUCAGUCCUGAAUAGUCAUUGGAAGGACUGAUGUUGAAGUUGAAACUCUAAUACUUUGGCCACCUAAUGCGAAGAGCUGACUCAUUUGAAAAGAUCCUGAUGCUGGAAAAGGUUGAAGGCAGGAGGAGAAGGGACAAUAGAGGAUAAGGUGAUUGGAUGGCAUCACUGACUCAGUGGGCAUGAGUUUGAGUAAACUCUGGGACUUGGUGAUGGACAGGGAGGCCUGGCAUGCUGCAGUCCAUGGGGUCGCAAAGAGUCAGACACGACUGAGUGACUGAACUGAACUGAAGAAGGGCAGAGGUGGGAAGCCUAGAUUGAGUCACUGCUCUAAUCGUUUACUGCUGAAAAUGCAGUGAGCCGAUUGCUGAGACUUUGGGGUGAGCAAGAGACAGGAUUUGUUGCGUGAUGGUUUGGUACUCUCAUCCUGUUGAAUAACUGGCUGGAUACCUACUUGAUGGUGUUUCCCUCUAUUUCUUUACUUAAAUGAUCUGCUCUCUAAUUGCUUUUCUUCUCUUAAGUGGGUAUUAAGGAGAUAUCCAAUUUUUUCUUUCUUGGCUUGUAGCCAUGGCUUCUUGUCCCAGAGGCUUCUGAGCCUGUGAAUAAUUAUCUGGUUUAAGUAAAGGAUGCCCUGAAGGUAAUAACAUACAUUGCCUGUGGUUCGGGUUUGCAUGGACUUCCUGUGUAACACUCUCUCCUCUAAAACAUUCUACAGUGAUACUAUUACCUACACUAUCACUUUACAUUUACACAGAAAUUUUUCCUAGAAUAUCUUUCUUGUUACUUACACCAGGAUCCAUGUAGGCUUUAGCAAGGAAAAAGGACAAAUGAAUGUCCUCAAUUAUGUUGGAGGGGUUCCUCAAAGCUGUUUUCUAACUCAACCAUUUCAUUUUCCAAUAUUUGUGGCAAAUAUACAGGAAGAAUUGAUUUUCGUAUGUUGACCAUGAAUCCUAGAGUUUUGCCUAACUCACUGAUUGAUUAGAUUUUUAAUAUGUAUUUAUUAUUUUUUAUGUAUUUGGCUGAGUCAGGUCUUAGUUGCUGCGUGUACAAUCUUUCGUCUUAGUUGCAGCACAUAGGAUCUUGUUCCCUGACCAGGGAUCAAACCCUGGCCCCCUGCACUGGGAGCCUGCAGUCUUAAUCACUGGACCACCAGGGAAGUCCCUGAUUAGUUUUAAUAGAUUGCUGCUGCUGCUAAAUCACAUCAGUCGUGUCCACCUCUGUGUGACCCCAUAGAUGGCAGCCCACCAGGCUCCCCCGUACCUGGGAUUCUCCAGGCAAGAACACUGGAGUGGGUUGCCAUUUCCUUCUCCAAUGCAUGAAAGUGAAAAGUGAAAGUGAAGUCGCUCAGUCAUGUCCAACUCUUAGUGACCCCAUGGACUGUAGCCUACCAGGCUCCUCUGUCCAUGGGAUUUCCCAGGCAAGAGUACUGGAGUGGGUUGCCAUUGCCUUCUCCGUAAUAGAUUGCAAAUUCCUUUACAUCUUGUCCAUAAACAACACUUUUACUUCUUUAAUUUUCAAACAAUGUGCUUUUUAUUUCUUUUUUUCCUAUGACUGUACAUAGCUGAACCUCCAAUAUAAUGUUGACAAUAAGUAGUAAUAGCAAACAUUUUCGUCUUGUCUAUUCCUAGAGGGAAAAGCAGUCAGUAUUUCACAGUUCAGAAUUUCAUGUAUUAGCUGUAAGCUUUUCAGAUACUUUAUCAAAUGGAGGGAGUUCCCUUCUAUUCCUGCUUUACUGAGUGUUUUUGUCAUGAACAGGUAUUGAAUUUCACUGAGUGACUUUUCUGAAUUUAUUGAGAUUGAUCAUACAGUUUUAGUCCUUUAUUUUGCUAGUGAUUUUCUGUUAACUAUAGCUAAUUUUUUUAGAAUUUUGUGUUCACCGGAGAUAUUGGUCUGUAUCUUUCUUAUAAUGUCUUCAUCAGGUUCUGUUUUCUAAGUUGUGCUGGCCUCAUAAAAUGAGUGAAGAAAUAUCCUCUUUUUAUCCUUCCUGUGAAACAGUUGUAUAAGAUUCGUACCUUUUCUUCAUGACAUUUUUGAAAGAAUUUACCAGUGAAGUUAGUUGAGACUGAAGUUUUUGUAAAGUGACAUUUUUUUAAUGACAGAUUCUAUUUCUUAAAGAUAUGACAAUAUUCAGAUAUUGUAUUCUUUAUGUGAACCUUUGAUAAACUUAUUUUUUCAAAAAAAUUUCUCCAUUUUAUCUAAGCUAUCAAAUUUCUUGACAUAAAAUUGUUCUUAAUUUCCUCCUAUUAUCCUUUCCAUAUCUGUAGGAUCUGUGGUGAUAUCUUAGUUUUCAUGACUGGCAUUGAUACUUGUGUUUUCACUCAUUUUUACUCAUCAAUCUUAUAAAUGAUAUAUUAUUUUAAAAAAUCUUUUCUGGAGAGCAACUUGUCAUCUGGAUUCUUUUCUAUUGUCAUUCUGCUUUUCCAUUUCAUUGAUUUUUUGCCUUAUUUAAAGUAGUUCUUUUCUGCUACUUUCUUUGGGUUAAAUUUGGUCUUAUUUUUCUAAGUUUUUUCAGAUAGAAGUUUAGAUAAUUAACUUUCAACUUAUCUUCUAGCUUAUGCAUUAGAACAAUAAAUUGCCUUGUUAAGAAAUGCUCUGACUAUACCCCACAAUGUUGAUAGGUUAUAUUUUAAUUAUUAUUUCAAGUCAAGAUCGUUCUAAUCCAUUGUUUUUCUUUAACACAUGGGUUAUUUAGAAAUGUGCGGCUUAAUAUGCACAAAUAACUAGUUAGCUUUUGUUACUGAUUUCAACUUUCAUUCCAGUGUAAUUAAAGAACAUUCUCAGUGAGAUUUCAAUCCUUUGAAAUUUUUUAAGACUUGGCUUAUGACUCAGUGAUUAGUUUAUUUUGGUGAAUAUUUCAUGUGCGCUUGAAAAUAGUGUGUAUUGUAUAGUUGUUGGGUGAAGUGUUUUAUAAACGUCAGUUGGGCCAGCUUGACUAUUCAAUGCUGUUGAAAUUUUCUGUGUUCUUACUGCUUACUUGGCCUGUUAUAUUAGUUAUUGAGAAAGGUGAUUGUGGAUUUGUCUUUAUUUUGAUUGUGAAUUUGUUUGUUUCUCUUUAAUUUUUGUUAAAUUUUGCUUUUUAUGUAGAAGUUGUUAUUAGAUACAGAUAUGUUUGUGAUUAUUUUGUCCUCCUAUUGAAUUCACCCUUGUAUAUCAUGAAAUGUCCCUCUUCAUCACCAGUGGAACUUCUUGCCUUAUCUUUUUGUGUGUGAUAUUAAUUUGCCACAAUAACAUUAUUUAGCUAAUGUUGACAUAGUAUGUAAUUUUCCAUCUUCACACUUUCAGUCUAAAUUUAUAUUUAAAGUGUAACUCUGUGAAAUAGCAUAUAACUGAGCCUGACAGUCUUUGCCAUUGAAUCAUAAUUUGAUCCAUUUUAUUUUAACUUAAUGGGCUCCUCUGGUGGCUCAGUGAUGAAGAAUCUGCCUGCCAACGCAGGAGACAUGAAUUCAAUUCUUGGUCAAGGAAGGUCCUCUGGAGAAGGAAAUGGCAACCCAUUCCAGUAUUCUUGCCUGAAAAUCCCCAUGGACAGAGGAGCCUGGCAUCCUACAGUCCAUGGGGCUGCAAAGUGUUGAACACUGCUUAGCGACUGAGCGACAGCAACAAUUUAAUGUGAUGUGACUGAAUCUGUGCCUCCGUCUGCUAUUUGUUUGCUACUUAUGUCUCCUGUUCCUUGUCCCUUUGUUCCCUUUUUUUCCUUUUACUGAUUUCUUUUGGAUAAAUCAAAGAAACGUAUUAUUCUGUUAUAUUUCCUCUGUUAUAUUUUCCAUGUCAUCCUUCCCUGAUUUUAAAAGUUUAAGUGGACACAGGGUCUUUAUAAGCAAGAAAUAUGGUCCUGAAUGAAGAAUCACAUGCAAAAAUCAUAUUUGUAGGAGGCAUUUUGUUGGUGAGGAUGUGGAGCAGAGAGCCUCGGUGUGGUGAACAGCAAUGCAGAGCUGAUCUUUGAUGCUUUGGAGAAGUAAAGACUGAAAGACUGCACUCAGGCACAUGUCAUCUAAUAUUCAGGAACUCUGGCCCCUUCUCCAUCUGAGCUUACUGAAAUUCGCUUGUCAUCAAAACCCUCUGUUUAUUUACUUAAUUCAUAAUUUAGAAAUGAGCUAAAAUAGAAUCUAUGUAAUUAUCUUG